AUUGAACGCUGGCGGCAGGCUUAACACAUGCAAGUCGAGCGGAGAUGAGGUGCUUGCACCUUAUCUUAGCGGCGGACGGGUGAGUAAUGCUUAGGAAUCUGCCUAUUAGUGGGGGACAACAUUCCGAAAGGAAUGCUAUUACCGCAUACGCCCUACGGGGGAAAGCAGGGGAUCUUCGGACCUUGCGCUAAUAGAUGAGCCUAAGUCGGAUUAGCUAGUUGGUGGGGUAAAGGCCUACCAAGGCGACGAUCGGUAGCGGGUCUGAGAGGAGGAUCCGCCACACGGGGACUGAGACACGGCCCAGACUCCUACGGGAGGCAGCAGUGGGGAAUAUUGGACAAUGGGCGGAAGCCUGAUCCAGCCAUGCCGCGUGUGUGAAGAAGGCCUUUUGGUUGUAAAGCACUUUAAGCGAGGAGGAGGCUACCUGGAUUAAUACUCUAGGAUAGUGGACGUUACUCGCAGAAUAAGCACCGGCUAACUCUGUGCCAGCCGCCGCCGUAAUAC
rnacentral:rRNA from 1 species